AAUUGUUUCAACGACAAGGCGACGAUUUCCAAAUUCAAUAUUGCACGAUUCACCUAAGGCUCUUUUACCAGGUUUUUUGUUAGCAGUGCGAAGCUUAAAUGAAAAAUCGACGGUUCGUUGUUAAAAUCCUAUUUGGCCAUCUGUUGGCGUAUUUUUAUUUUUACGCAUUUCGAUUAAAACCACCACCAACCACCUGCUGAUUUGCUUUUGGCAAAGCGCCCUGGUACGUUCUACAUCUGUCCAUCCAUCGACCAGAACAACGACGACGCGUGACUUUAGGUGCUACUCCCGCAUCAUUUAUUAUAACGUCUCUUGACCUUGACGACGACGUGCCACCCAUAAAUAGGUAUGGUAUCUAAAGAAAUGGUUUCGCCUUUAUUUCGCUCAACCGAGACUUUGCGGCCACCACUUCUCUACGCUGUUGUUGUUGUUGAAGACUAGCACAACCCACACGCUCACGCACGCGGGAAGGAAGGAAAAAGAAAAAAUAACUCUGGUGUGGCCUCCAGUUCUUCCAGUGACUCCUUACGGAACAGUUGAAUUUUUAAAACCACGUUUGGUUGUUGUAUUGUUUGUUAGUUUCUGUUUAAAAGUUUUAAUAUCAAAGUUGAUUCACCGCUGCUGCGCAAUAUACUCUUAUCGGCUUGCUGUGUAUUGAUUGGCUAAUUAAUUCGACUGACAGUGUGUGCGCUGUGUGUGUCGUCCGGGAUAUCCUAUACAUCGUUGGAUAUGGCCCGUUGCUCUUGGAUGAUAUGCAUCGGCCUAAUUUUCCUCUUUUCUUCAGCUGCUGCUGUUGCGUCAGAAUCGCUGUCAAAUGGAACACGUACGAACGUGACGGCGGCGGCGGAGAGAGACGGACGGGCGUACGACGUUCAUCCACCUGACUCGACCAACAAUCAACGGGUGGAAGUUGUUCAGUCGCUCUCUCCUCGUCCUAAAUCACUUGGAACCGGGACGUGGAAAGCCAUCAAAAUCUGGAACGAUCCGGUGGAAGCAACAUCAUCAUCUACGGCUAAAAGAGCAUCUUCACCUGAACGAGUUGUCGCUUCUUCUUCUUCCGCAAGUCGGCCCGGAGACUCGUCCAUCUUGAUUACGUUUCUCUUUUUACCCGCCUUUAUGUUGUUCGUAACGCGACUGAUUGAAGAGCUCAGCAUUUCACCCAAAUAACUCAAUUUUUUUUUUUUUUUUUUUAAAAGCUUAUUUUAUUUCUUAACUAUUCGCAUCUACAUUAAAAAGUGAUACCUAAAAUUAACGCAUGAUUUACGCAUAUAUUAUAUUUUUUUCCGGAUACCAUAACAAUGUCAUAAUAUUGUACAUAUAUAAUACGUUGCUAGCUGCUGCUGUUGAAUUGAGGGAGACAUAUGUUGUAAAAUGAUUGCUUGUCAAAUUCACUCGUGUGUGUCCAUCUGACGUAUCCUUCUUUCUGGAGUUUGACAGCAGAUGUUUGAUGUUGUCCUCGUUGGUGGUAAUAAUGAGGGUCCUAUAUACACACACAUCCGAAAAAAGAAAGAAAAAACAGAUCUAGUACAAUACAAACAUUUCAGCUAUGUA
rnacentral:misc_RNA from 1 species